rnacentral:lncRNA from 1 species
AUAAGCAUUCUGUUUCCACUGCUCCAGUUUGAAGACGAUAUCUUAGUUCAUUGGUGGAAAACCUGUGACACAUGUGUUAUUUGUUUUUCAUUUGAGACCAAAAUAUUUCAGCGAGAAGAACACAGCAGUUAGCGAGACCAAGGGAAUAUUCACACUGGAAACACUGUCUGCCACACACUCCCGUCAACGUGCCUUCUGGGUGCCUGGCUUCAUUUCUGCAAAGCUAUAGCAUGUGGACCAAGCAGACAGAGGCAUGGGCCACCCACUCUCAGAGAUGUGGGAAAAUGAAUCGGAAUAACAAGAGAAAAUGA